UAGGUCCUUUAUAAGUCCAAUGAUGGCUGGAGUCCUGGUGGAUGAAAUAGGCUUUAGAAAUGGGGCAGUAGUAGUGAGUGGGAUAAAUUUUUGUGUGAUGAUUUUGUCAUCUAUCUUUUUUACUCUACGAUGGUAUAGACGUCCAUCCCUUGCUGAUGAUGUUUAUGUAAGAUAUGACAGUAUAGUUCCUCAGGCUAUGACAAAUGAACGGGUAGAAAUUUCUUUUUCUGCAGAGUUUUCUAAAACAAAAGAUAGCCAUCCUUGAUAUGAUAAACAUCAAUUUGUUUCUGCCUGCCAAUGAUUUUGUUGAUGUAUAUUUUUAGCUUAGAAAACUUUUAUUUUAAAUGAAUUCUUUUGUUAUUGUCAAAUGUAUCAAUUUCUCCCAGAGCAACAAAGUAUAGAAGUUGUUACUAAAAAUGAGAUUUAUCAAAAUAUAUUUAGAAGCCAUUGAAUUAAUACCAUUAUUUUAAAAGGAUAAAUUCAAGUCUUCUUUCAGUCUCAAAAUGUGCAAUAACUAUAGAAUCAUGGUUGAACUGUACUGCAAUUCCUAUGACCCUGGGAUUUUUAGACCUCAAACAGGACAUUCAUUCUACAAAGCUGUGAAUAUUGGCAAUGAUUCAGAUAUUACACUGUACAUAAUACAAAGAAUAUACAAGUAUUGUUGAUGAAGCUCAAAGCUUCAUUCGUCUCUGUUGUACUUUGAUAUUUGUUAUGAUUUCAUUAAUAGGAACUGUUCAUAGUCAAACAUGCUUUAAAUUAUUUUUUACAUCCUUGGUUGUACUCAUUAAUCUUUCCAUUAAUUCGUUAAUGGCUGCUGUUCAUACAUUGUUCAGGAUGGCUGUCUGGUCAUGUGGUAUAUGUGCUCUGUACUGUUGUCUGGAUGGUCUUGGAUUUGAACCCUAACUGCUGCCAUUCCCCCCCCCCCCCAAACUGCUGUGGGAAAUUUAGGUUAGGAUGUAAUCAUAAAUUCUGAAGGAACACCCAAAACAUGAAAGCACAAGUUACAUUGAAAUAUCUCAUAUUUAUGUAUGUGUCAACAUUUUUCUCUCUCAGCAAUAUUUCAACAAGUCUGUUUGUCUUUCAUGGUUACCUGACAUCAUCUGUGUGCCAUUGAAAAGUGCUCUCAAAUCAAGUAUUGCAUACUUAAUAUGGUGACUUAGGGUUAAGAAUGAGUCAUGUGUUACAACUGUACCUGUUUAGUUGAUGCAAACUAAGUUAUGGAAUUAUACUGCAGGGUCCCUAAAGAUUGUUAAUAUUUAAUUAUAUUUUUCUUAAAUAUGAUUUCUUAUUCAUUUUUUUGUACUAAACAUCAAGCCUUCAUAAGUUUGCUUUGUAAUUUUUCUUUGUUGAUCUGUUGAAUGUCAUUCAAAAACAAAACUGUGCAUCGCAUGUAACAUAGCUGUAUGUAUAGACCUGAUAGCCUUAUGGUAAUUGAUCAUUGUUCAUAUCAUUUGCAUUUCCUUAAGAGGACUGUCAUCUUUAUUCCUGCUACUUAUUUCUCUCUCCACUACAUUCCCUGUUAACUUUGUUCCUAGUGCACAAAGACAGUAAAACUUAGAUAAAAUUGUAGUAGUAAUCAAUAUGAAUUAAGAAUUUUUAACAAGAUGUAAAACAGUGUAAAUCACAUUACAAAUACUUAGAAAGAAGUAAUUUUAAAAAAUUAUUCUGUACUGUCUAAUCAAGUUGCUUGAAUUAUUUCUUUGUAAUAUCAUUUGAAAAUGAAAAAAAAAGCGACAGAACAUAACUUUUUAAAAAUUAUUUACAUAUGGAAGAGUUAUUUUACUUUAUUUGCUCUCAUGGUAUGAAUGAUGAACAGAAUGCACAAUAUGUGGUCUGAAUCUUUUGACUUUUCCGACUGCUUGUUUACUGUGGCUGUGUUGGUAUGUUGAAAGAAAGACUGCUUGUUUACUGUGGAUGUUUUUUUGGAAAUAACAUUAUUCUUUGUUAUGCUAAAUUAAUUUUUUGUGUUUAAUCAUUUAGUAAUUUUAAAUGUUAAAUACAAAUUUAUUAUUAAUCAGUCAGGAAAACCAAUGACUUAGAGUUUAAAUCUGUAAUCAAUAUGCAAGACUAGAUUGACACACAUUAUUCUUUUUUUAAGGAAUGCCUGUAAUAUAUAAGAUGAUGAGUUAUUGUAAUUUUUGGUCUCUAUACCUGGUUGCCAAUGUUUUACACUUGGAAUUCUUUGGUACAUUAUCUUCGAUAAAUAUUGUUUUGUUGAGAUAGUCUUAGAUAGAUUGUCUUGAAUUAAUAAUUGUUAUAUUUUUGAGGUAUUUUUAUGUAGAUAAUCUUGAAUAAAUUUUAUUUUGUUUAGGUACUUUAAGGUAGAUUAUCUUGAAUAAAAGUAACCUACACAAAUAAAAAUUAUAAUUUUCACUGAACAUUUUGUCAAGUUGUCGAAAGGUCCAGAUGCCACAUCACAAAUAUGUUCAUUGGUUAGAAAGAAAGGCAUAAAUUGUAAACAAGUUAUCUUAUAUAUCCAAAAAAUAUGCAAAGGGAUUAUUUGACUCUAUUGAAAGCCAGGAAGACAAAAGGAUUUGUGCCUUUCAUGACUGAAGAAUAAAUAAAUUUCUUGUAUUUUUCAGGAGAUGUCAUUUUAAUAAAUUUUAACUACUUAAAAUGCCUUGUACCUAUAUCCAUUUGACAUAAACCAAUUCAUUGUCUUUUUUAACACAUUUUGCAUUGUCAUGGAGCUAUUUAAAACUUAAAAUAAUUUUGAAAAUUAUGAACUUUGUUAUUGCUGUAUAAAUCUAAAAACAAAUGUGAUUUACUUGUUGUUUUUUUUCAAUAAGCAGCUAAAAGUACACUAACAUUUCUUGGAUCUUUAGUAUUAUACCAUCUAAUAGUUACACCUAUUCAAUAUUGCUUCUUAAUUACUCUUGAUUACCUAUU
rnacentral:sRNA from 1 species